AUAUGGUCAAGCGAUUAAGCGCACACGGUGGAUGCCUAGGCGGUAGAAGGCGAUGAAGGACGUGGUAGUCUGCGAUAAGCCUCGGGGAGCUGACAAACUAGCUUUGAUCCGGGGAUUUCCGAAUGGGGAAACCCACCUCUUUUGAGGUGUCUGCACCUGAAUACAUAGGGUGUAGAAGCGAUACCCGGGGAACUGAAACAUCUAAGUACCCGGAGGAAAAGAAAUCAACCGAGAUUCCGUCAGUAGCGGCGAGCGAACGCGGAGUAGCCCAAAAGUCUGCUUGGUUUUAGUGGAACGGUCUGGAAAGUCCGGCGAUACAGGGUGAUAGCCCCGUACACGAAAGGGCCAUGCAGAUGAAAUUGAGUAGGGCGGGACACGUGAAAUCCUGUCUGAAAAUGGGGGGACCAUCCUCCAAGGCUAAAUACUCUCUACCGACCGAUAGUGAACCAGUACCGUGAGGGAAAGGCGAAAAGAACCCCGGAGAGGGGAGUGAAAUAGAACCUGAAACCGUGUGCGUACAAGCAGUGGGAGCCCCUUCGGGGGUGACUGCGUACCUUUUGUAUAAUGGGUCAGCGACUUACUUUCAGUGGCAAGCUUAACCGUAUAGGGGAGGCGUAGGGAAACCGAGUCUUAAUAGGGCGUUCAGUCGCUGGGAGUAGACCCGAAACCGGGCGAUCUAUCCAUGGCCAGGAUGAAGGUGGGGUAACACCUACUGGAGGUCCGAACCCACUAAUGUUGAAAAAUUAGGGGAUGAGCUGUGGAUAGGAGUGAAAGGCUAAUCAAGCCCGGAGAUAGCUGGUUCUCCUCGAAAGCUAUUUAGGUAGUGCCUCAUGUAUCACUCUCGGGGGUAGAGCACUGUUAUGGCUAGGGGGUCAUCCCGACUUACCAAACCAUUGCAAACUCCGAAUACCGAGAAGUGCGAGCAUGGGAGACACACGGCGGGAGCUAACUUUCGUCGUGGAGAGGGAAACAACCCAGACCGCCAGCUAAGGUCCCAAAAUCAUGGCUCAGUGGGAAACGAUGUGGGAAGGCCCAGACAGCCAGGAGGUUGGCUUAGAAGCAGCCAUCCUUUAAAGAAAGCGUAAUAGCUCACUGGUCGAGUCGGCCCGCGCGGAAGAUUCAACGGGGCUUAAGCCAUGUACCGAAGCUGCGGACUUGUCCUUGUGACAAGUGGUAGAGGAGCGUUCUGUACGCCUGCGAAGGUGUGUCGUAAGGCAUGCUGGAGGUAUCAGAAGUGCGAAUGCUGACAUGAGUAACGAUAAGAUGGGUGAAAAACCCAUCCGCCGAAAGCCCAAGGUUUCCUGCGCAACGUUAAUCGGCGCAGGGUUAGUCGGCCCCUAAGGCGAGGCAGAAAUGCGUAGUCGAUGGGAAACAGGUUAAUAUUCCUGUACCGCUAUAUACUGCGAUGGGGGGACGAAGGAGGCUAGGUCAGCCGGCAGUUGGUGUCCGGUUUAAGCGUGUAGGGAGUGCUUCUUGGUAAAUCCGGAAGCACAAUCCUGAGGCGUGAUGACGAGCUCCCAUGUGGAGCGAAGUGACUAAUGCCAUGCUUCCAGGAAAAUCCUCUAAGCUUCAGGUAUAUAGUGACCGUACCCGAAACCGACACAGGUGGGCAGGGUGAGAAUCCCAAGGCGCUUGAGAGAACCCGGGUGAAGGAACUAGGCAAAAUGGUACCGUAACUUCGGGAGAAGGUACGCCGCUGACGGUGAUGAGACUUGCUCUCUAAGCUGUUGGCGGUCGCAGAGACCAGGCCGCUGCGACUGUUUAUUAAAAACACAGCACUCUGCAAACACGAAAGUGGACGUAUAGGGUGUGACGCCUGCCCGGUGCCGGAAGGUUAAUUGAUGGGGUUAGUCUUCGGACGAAGCUCUUGAUCGAAGCCCCGGUAAACGGCGGCCGUAACUAUAACGGUCCUAAGGUAGCGAAAUUCCUUGUCGGGUAAGUUCCGACCUGCACGAAUGGCGUAACGAUGGCGGCACUGUCUCCACCCGGGACUCAGUGAAAUUGAAAUCGCUGUGAAGAUGCAGUGUACCCGCGGCUAGACGGAAAGACCCCGUGAACCUUUACUACAGCUUCACACUGAACUUUGAACCUGCUUGUGUAGGAUAGGUGGGAGGCUUUGAAGCGGCGACGCCAGUCGUCGUGGAGCCAACCUUGAAAUACCACCCUGGCAUGUUUGGAGUUCUAACCUCGUCCUGUUAUCCAGGACAGGGACCGUGUGUGGUGGGUAGUUUGACUGGGGCGGUCUCCUCCCAAAGAGUAACGGAGGAGCGCGAAGGUACCCUCAGCGCGGUCGGACAUCGCGCAUUGAGUGCAAAGGCACAAGGGUGCUUGACUGCGAGACUGACACGUCGAGCAGGUGCGAAAGCAGGUCUUAGUGAUCCGGUGGUUCUGUAUGGAAGGGCCAUCGCUCAACGGAUAAAAGGUACUCCGGGGAUAACAGGCUGAUACCGCCCAAGAGUCCAUAUCGACGGCGGUGUUUGGCACCUCGAUGUCGGCUCAUCACAUCCUGGGGCUGAAGCAGGUCCCAAGGGUAUGGCUGUUCGCCAUUUAAAGUGGUACGCGAGCUGGGUUUAGAACGUCGUGAGACAGUUCGGUCCCUAUCUGCCGUGGGCGUCGGAGAUUUGAGAGGGUCUGCUCCUAGUACGAGAGGACCGGAGUGGACGUACCUCUGGUGUUCCGGUUGUCACGCCAGUGGCAUUGCCGGGUAGCUAAGUACGGACGGGAUAACCGCUGAAAGCAUCUAAGCGGGAAGCCUUCCUCAAGAUGAGAUCUCCCUGGGAACUUGAGUCCCCUAAAGGGCCGUUGAAGACUACAACGUUGAUAGGUCAGGUGUGGAAGCGCAGUAAUGUGUGAAGCUAACUGAUACUAAUUGCCCGUGAGGCUUGACCAU
rnacentral:rRNA from 1 species